GUGGGCUAAGCAUGGGACCCACGUGGGGUGAGGACACAUGGCGAUAAAGAGAGCCAGGCCCUUGCUGCCAAGGAGCUUUCCCGUAACACCGAUGCUUCAAACAAAAGGUAGUAAAAGUGCCUGGGUUUUUGCGUUGAAAUAUCUUUCCCUUCAACUGCUCACCAAGGUGCUUUUACUCCCUGUCACCACCGCUGCCUGCCAGAGGCAGUGACCUUGGGUCCAGCUGGCGCCUGUCAACCUACACAACCACACAGUGAGAGGCUGCCUAAAGAAAGGCGUUUAUUCAGGAGCAGAGCAUUGCAACGGUAAUACGCAUGUCAUAGUAAAAUGUGCAUAUUCGAGGAGGCAGAGGAAGAAAGGAAGAGGAAGGUUUUCAAAGAAAAAGAUGAUUUGCCUUGUGUAGCUCUUUAUGUUCUGAGAUGAGCAGAUGACAGAUUGGGAUGCUGGAGAUUUUGAAUGUGCACACCGCUGGGAAGACCACGCCAAUUGGCUUACACGCCGAAUUCAAGGAGGAUUUUGUAAAACUUUCCUGCUAAUUUGAAAGAGCUGCACCACAGAACACAGUAUAUGGUUCAAAGUACACAGUACGUAUUGGUGUGCCUGAUUGAGACUCAGGUGUACAAAGCCAUGAGCGAAGUUCAGGUGAGAGUUCCUUGAAGCUUCACUGCAAUUCCCCAGCCACAGAGUGUCUGAAGACUGCUGCAGGUCCAGUUUGAGUUGCUUUUACUCUCCAGGAACACACAGAUGUGACUAAAAAAAUCUGCAUUCCCCUAAAGUAACAGCAUUCAUGCUACUCCAGAGACCCAGACAAAGGGGAAUUAAGCUUGCUUGAACUUGAGCCUGGGGACCAGGAUGCUGAUGGAGGCUUUGCAGAUUCUUGGGUCUCCAUGGAGACGAACAGACUCUGGCAAAAUUUCCUUCUUGGGAGAAAGGCAGUGUUGGCUGCUUUCUUUCCUCUGGCCACCCUGAGAAUGCAAGACUCAUAAAAGUGCUGUGUAUAGAUUCUCUGCAGACACGGGGCCAUUUUGUACCAUUUCUGGCCUCUUCAGAGCCCUCCUGAAGUGCUCUCUGGCAUCCAGCAUCCAGGGUGUCCAGCUGCCUCCACAAACAGCGAGAGCUCAUCAGUAAUGGGUGACACUAGUCACACAACAAAGAGCCAUGUGUCUGGUUCAUAGCACCUUAUCCAAAGUGAAUGCUCACUAUGGUUUUUAGCAAAAAAUGUGUGGAG
rnacentral:lncRNA from 1 species